rnacentral:lncRNA from 1 species
ACCAUCAUCAGUAUCAUCAACAACACCAUCUUACAGUGGGAAGGCUGCCCUGCUGUGAAUAACCCGGAGAGGGUACUGUGGCUCUGUUGGGUUCCUGGGAGGCCAGAUGCUUUGUCGCUCUCAGGACUGCUUAUUGCCUCAGUUGCCACAUCUAUAGUACAGUUUGUGAGAAGAAGGGAGAAGAAGAGUAGCUGGAUAAAAUACACA